UCGGGAAUAUUGGGCAAUGGGCGAAAGCCUGACCCAGCGACGCCGCGUGAGGGAUGAAGGCCUUCGGGUCGUAAACCUCUGUCGGGAGGGAAGACGGGGCACGAGGCGAAUAGUCUCGAGCUUUGACGGUACCUCCAAAGGAAGCGCCGGCUAACUCCGUGCCAGCAGCCGCGGUAAUACGGAGGGCGCAAGCGUUGUUCGGAAUUACUGGGCGUAAAGCGCGUGUAGGCGGUCGGAUAAGUCGGAUGUGAAAUCCCGAGGCUCAACCUCGGAAUUGCAUUCGAAACUAUUCGACUAGAGUCUCGGAGAGGGUGGUGGAAUUCCCGGUGUAGGGGUGAAAUCCGUAGAUAUCGGGAGGAACACCAGUGGCGAAGGCGACCACCUGGACGAUGACUGACGCUGAGACGCGAAAGCGUGGGGAGCAAACAGGAUUAGAUACCCUGGUAGUCCACGCCGUAAACGGUGAGUGCUAGACGUCGCGGGUAUUGACUCCCGCGGUGUCGAAGCUAACGCGUUAAGCACUCCGCCUGGGGAGUACGGCCGCAAGGCUA
rnacentral:rRNA from 1 species